CUCCUCACUUUCAAAGUGACGAGGGAGGGAGCUGUUCAGCACAGCAGUUGAAAGGACGCAGGCGGCAAAUAUGGCGGAGAGUUCUUCCGAACGGGAUCAGUCUCAGCCCGAAUUGCUGAAGCGUGACAUCCUAAAUACUGUAGCGUCCCACUGACGCAAUAAUGAAGCGGAGGCGACCGUUUCUAACCGUGAGGCUUUUUAAUGACUUAGGAACAGUUACUGUCGGCCGUAACCACGCCAAAUACAGCACAACGAUAAUCAGAACUUUCCAUCAAAGCAUCCAUCCUCCCCAACCCCCUCAUGCACCCGCGACCCCUCCUUUAUUGUCUGCUCCUCCGCCCAUUCUCCCGCUCAUCCAAUCACACUGGAGCAACGAUGUAACCCAGAACACAUUAACAGAGCCCCAAAAACCACUUGUACCUGAAGAUGGCAGACAACAACUGUGCAGACUUGGCCUUCUUCAGCGACACUGUGAACGUGUAUGGCUUUUCUCUGAGGAUGAGAGGAGAAAAUGUGGGCAUAGCCGAGUUAAUGCUCACAGUACGUAG